CGUGUCCAAUACCAUUUCCUGGAAGGCCACAGCUAUGCCAUGAAGAAUGAAUGACUCACUUCCCCACAGAAGCCCUCGCCAGCUCACAGGCCUGUCUGGAGCUGCCCAGAGCCCAGGUCUCAUGGUGAAGGAUGCUCAGCUCACUGCAAGCCGGCGCCCCGGCCUCCGCCCUCAACCAUCUGUUUGACUUUUGGCCACUGAGAAGAGAAACCUGCUAACUCUCCAGGACUGACUGCCAGGCGGGAGGAAAAGCAGACUCAUUUGCUUCGAUCCCAAGGAGAGAAUGAAGGCCAGACGUCUGACCCAACUCCAGUGAACGACACAUGAGGGAGAGGCUGCUGAGAGCGUUCACAGUUUCGACACACCCCUCGCCCCGAUGUUGCCUAGACGUGAGCUGGGAAGUGCCGAGGCCGUCGGGCCACCUGCCUAAAGUCGGCUCUGAGGAUGGGAAGCACCAGGACAGGACCAUAACCGCCGACCUCCUGUUCCAGCACAGCGCCUGAUACACAGGUAUCAA